UACGAAGGGGGCUAGCGUUGCUCGGAAUUACUGGGCGUAAAGGGCUCGUAGGCGGCCAACUAAGUCAGACGUGAAAUCCCUCGGCUUAACCGGGGAACUGCGUCUGAUACUGGAUGGCUUGAGUUUGGGAGAGGGAUGCGGAAUUCCAGGUGUAGCGGUGAAAUGCGUAGAUAUCUGGAGGAACACCGGUGGCGAAGGCGGCAUCCUGGACCAACACUGACGCUCAUGCACGAAAGCGUGGGGAGCAAACAGG
rnacentral:rRNA from 1 species